GUCCCUUGGGGAUAUUCGAUAAAAUUGAAAUGAUAGAAUGACCCCUAGGCAAGGAUGCCACACACAAAUAGAGAAAUAGUCCAAGUUUUU
rnacentral:snRNA from 1 species